rnacentral:rRNA from 1 species
AACGAACGCUGGCGGCAGGCCUAAUACAUGCAAGUCGAACGCUCCAGCAAUGGAGAGUGGCAGACGGGUGAGUAACGCGUGGGAACCUUCCCAGUGGUACGGAAUAGCUCAGGGAAACUUGAGGUAAUACCGUAUACGCCCUUCGGGGGAAAGAUUUAUCGCCAUUGGAUGGGCCCGCGUCGGAUUAGCUAGUUGGUGGGGUAAUGGCCCACCAAGGCGACGAUCCGUAGCUGGUCUGAGAGGAUGAUCAGCCACACUGGGACUGAGACACGGCCCAGACUCCUACGGGAGGCAGCAGUAGGGAAUAUUGGACAAUGGGCGCAAGCCUGAUCCAGCCAUGCCGCGUGAGUGACGAAGGCCUUCGGGUUGUAAAGCUCUUUUGGCGGGGACGAUAAUGACGGUACCCGCAGAAUAAGCUCCGGCUAACUUCGUGCCAGCAGCCGCGGUAA